rnacentral:pre_miRNA from 1 species
AAUAGGAUAGCUGGGUCAAAUGGUGGUCCCAUUCCAAGUUUUCUGAGGAAUUGCCAUACUCCUUUACAUAGUAGUUGCAACAAUUUGCAGUCCUACUAGCAAU